rnacentral:lncRNA from 1 species
CUAGGCUGAAAGGCAUGGUGGAGGCAGCCAGGUAAGAUGGUUGGGCGCAAGGGAGAUGAGUAUUGGAUGGGAACAAAGCAGGUCUGUCACCCAAGAAAUCUAAAAAAAGGGAAAGGACUGGGGUAGCCAUGGUGGUGUUGGACCACCCUCGUCCCAGAGGUAAGCUGCCCAAGACCCCCUCAAAUCCAACAAUGCUUUGAGAAUAAAUAAAUGGUAUCAAUCCUCUGCGUGUUUGCUCAGAACUAAGUCCAAUUGACUUUAAUCGGACCUACUCCCAAGUGCAUAGGAUUGCAUGCCAAGGAAAUGGAUCAAUCUCCAGCGAUUUCAGCAAGGAUCUUUGAUAAUCUGCAGCUUAUUUCGUAUGCAUUUCACGGGGAGCGGUGAAUACUAAAAUAUUAGAAUGUCAGCAUCUCAGCUGGAACCUAAUGAUAAUGUUUAAACUGCAAAUUCUCGUCCAAAUAAAUGAUUUAUAAUGGAGAAUUGGGAGAGGUUCAGAUGACAAGAUGAAGCCCACGUGUGUGUGUACGUGUGUGACAGAGAGAGCUUUUUUCACCCUUUAGGCCGUGAGUCUGAAGCGUUAUGCACCGAGGCAAAAUCGUUUGAUAUCUCCAUGCCACAAUUCCCCAAAGUUUAAAAAUAGAAUUAAUGGGCUUUGGCUCCUAGGGACUGGACGUCUUAAUGAAUGGGUGGCUGUAAAGGACUUCAUGGGGCUAGAAGCACUUUAAAGUGCAAGUGUUUUUAUUAUGACUGUCUCUCAGAUUUCUUUUUCUAACAAUGUCUCGAAGGUUUCUACAGCCUUAUAGCACACUUGCUUCUUAAUUUCACCCUAAGAGACUCUCGGGUUACGUUAAUGCCCAGUAGCUUCUAAAGCACAUUUAUAUCCAAUGCGCUAAUUUUUUCCCCUUUAGGUUUUUUUUUUUAAGCAUAUGUAUUAACAGAACUAUACAACAUUGGCUGGCUGCUAUAAAUUGCCUUCCCUGACACAUCUCUCUUAUAUAGGAGAUGCCACUCCUGGGCUUCCUGUAGAGAAAGCAAUAGCUGGGCGAAUGUUUUAUUCAUACGUAAUAUCUGGAUUCUCCUUGGUUGUAUUUUUAAGUGUCCACAGAUCACGGAAAGGACAUGAUUCACAGGCCUCUCUUUCUCUUUAAAAAAAAAGAAAAAGAAAAAAGCAGGUGAUUUAUUAUGGUUGUAAAAAGCCUUUUUGAGAUGGCAAUGCCUGAGGUAAGUUGUUUAAAAGGAAAGCCUAUUUUUACACGAAUCCUGGAGCCCUUGUAUAAGGUUUGUUCUGUUGAUUUUCAAAAUGAUGGUGGUAAAAGGGGGUGGGGGUGGAAUCUUACUAUCAUAUACGGUGACUUUGUCAACUGCUACGAUUCAGUUUAGUAGCACAGUACUUAUUAUCAUUAUUCUUUAUUAUCAGUGCUAUUUUUCUAGAAAAAUAGGUGCCACAACCCACCAUGAAUUCUUCUCUAGUUCUCUUACAGUGGCAUAUGCGAAUGGUCUAUGUUCCAAGCAUUAAUAAACUGACUGACUUUCUUGUAAUAGCAAUGGCGCCCACCUGAGAGUUGUCGGAACCGCGUUCCGGUAAGUUCUGGCUUUUUAAAAAACCCCUAAUUGUUAUUAUUAAAUUUCUCCUGUAAUUUAUUCGAGGAUCAUGGGGCAGUUUACAAUAUAAAUUAAUUCUUAAAUCCUGUUGUGGUGAGGGAGGGUAUAGGCACUUCGGACCCUGUUCACACGGCAUCCAACUUUUUUGUACCUGAAAUUGGGACAGGGGUGAAAUCCCCAAAAAGGAUGUUACUUUUUUUCUGUAUGCCAAACAGCUGCGAGAAUAUUGUUAGUGAAGAAUUGGAAGAAACAAGAUUUACCAACUAUCGAAGAAUGGCAGAUGAAGAUGAUGGACUCUAUGGAACUUGCCGAACUGACUGGGAGACUCCGAGACCAGAGAGAAGAGAAGGUGGAAGAAGACUGGAAGAAGUUUAAGGAAUAUUUGAAAAAAUAUGUUAAUAUUUAAACCUUAGAAUAGCUUUGGAAGUGGAUAUAGGCUGUAGGGUUAGAAGUAGAAGAUAGGGUAUUUUAAAAUAGUAUUAUUUGUAAGUGAUAAAAUGUGAAGUUAUUUUAAGUGUGAUUUUU